GUGUCAGCAGCCGCGGUAAUACGUAGGUGGCAAGCGUUGUCCGGAAUUACUGGGUGUAAAGGGCGCGUAGGCGGGAGAGCAAGUCAGAUGUGAAAUCCCAGGGCUUAACUCUGGAGCUGCAUCUGAAACUGUUUUUCUUGAGUACUGGAGAGGAAAGUGGAAUUCCUAGUGUAGCGGUGAAAUGCGUAGAGAUUAGGAGGAACACCAGUGGCGAAGGCGGCUUUCUGGACAGUAACUGACGCUGAGGCGCGAAAGCGUGGGGAGCAAACAGGAUUAGAUACCCUGGUAGUCCACGCUGUAAACGAUGGAUACUAGGUGUGGGAGGUAUCGACCCCUUCCGUGCCGGAGUUAACACAAUAAGUAUCCCACCUGGGGAGUACGGCCGCAAGGCUGAAACUCAAAUGAAUUGGCGG
rnacentral:rRNA from 1 species